rnacentral:pre_miRNA from 1 species
AAUGCAUUGCUGCAUCAAAUGGUAAAACUGUAGUUUAUUUUGUAAGAAACUGCCAAACUGUCUUCCAAAGUGGCUAUAUCAUUUUGCUUUUCUGCUAGCAAU